rnacentral:lncRNA from 1 species
UACAUCUAUAUAUACAGGUAGUUUGAGGGCUUCCUUUUUCAAUGAAGUGGGCGGUUCUCAUCAAGUGACACGUCGCAGAGGAAAGUAGGGCUAGAGUUUGACUAUCUUUUGUAGUGGUCUUUGUGUUUUGUACUAAAAUUUGUCAUUGAUUUUCUCAUUAUAAGCUAUGGCCACAGUUUGACAAUAUCUCUUUUGUAGUGGU